rnacentral:sRNA from 1 species
AUGACCUCAUACAAUUAUUCUCUCAUAGAGGGAGCCAGAGAGUCGGUAUAGCCUGCUGUGACAAUGGCCGAAAUCCAUGGUUACCAGGGCACAACUUCAAUCUAGUCGACUACACAGCCUCCUUCAUUUGGCUGAAGCUUUCUUAAGCCUGGAUAGUUAAGAGAAAGACAUACUAUGGUAGAGAGAGUUGCUCCCACAUAUGUGAGGGGAGAAUCUCUCAACAUGGUAUCGUCUCUCUUUCCCUGUAACAAAGCAGCUCAUGUCCACUGCUCAGUCUUACUUGAACUACGGUUUCUCUCUCAAGUGUUUGCUCAUCUCCAGCUAUUGAGAGAGAUUUCAAGUGUCAGGGAACAAAGAACCUUCUCAUUGAGCCAUAGUCCUGGUCACACUGGAGGCUGCAGUGUGGGAGCAGGGCUGACCCGAGGAAGAAAGGAGAGAGUGAUUAUGGGGAAGCUGGGAAGAUGCCAGUAGGCCAAGCAGUGACCCAGGCAACCACCUCCAGAGAUACAGGACUGACAUGACGCCUGCGAGUGAAAUCCAUGCCCUGGAUUUCACUUCACAGUAUACAGAUCACAUGUGGAGCUCAACCGGCCCCUGUGUCCAUCAAGAGAAUAAAAGCGACUGCAUCACUUGCUGGUCAGUUCAGUAGACCAACAAAUGACCUACGCAAAAAUGGAACCCAGCCCUUAGCUCUGUGUUGGAACUUCAGGCUGAGCACUGGAUGAUGUUAGUUGCCAUCUUGCGUGGUACCCAGCCAAUUACCAUGAAUACUCCUGAUGGAUCAGGCUGCUAACAAAACUAGGUCAAACCUAAAAUAGAAUCUCUGGUAAGUAUUCUGGGCAGAUA